rnacentral:rRNA from 1 species
UACAGAGGUGGCAAGCGUUGUUCGGAAUUACUGGGCGUAAAGGGCGCGUAGGCGGUCUUGCAAGUCCUGUGUGAAAUCCCUCGGCUCAACUGAGGAACUGCACAGGAAACUGCUUGGCUUGAGUUCGGGAGAGGGAAGCGGAAUUCCUGGUGUAGCGGUGAAAUGCGUAGAUAUUGGGAGGAAUACCGGUGGCGAAGGCGGCUCCCUGGACCGGUACUGACGCUGAGGCGCGAAAGCGUGGGUAGCAAACAGG